AGAGUUCGAUUCUGGCUCAGGACGAACGCUGGCGGCGUGCCUAACACAUGCAAGUCGAACGGACGAGAAGGUGCUUGCACCUUCAAGUUAGUGGCGGACGGGUGAGUAACGCGUGAGCAACCUGCCUCAAAGAGGGGGAUAACGUCUGGAAACGGACGCUAAUACCGCAUGACGUAUUCGAUAGGCAUCUAUUGGAUACCAAAGGAGCAAUCCGCUUUGAGAUGGGCUCGCGUCUGAUUAGCUAGUUGGUGGGGUAAAGGCCUACCAAGGCGACGAUCAGUAGCCGGACUGAGAGGUUGAACGGCCACAUUGGGACUGAGACACGGCCCAG
rnacentral:rRNA from 1 species